UCUUAUAAAACAUAUGAAGUGUGAGGCCGGUCGGACAUUGCGUGCCUGAGUUACUAUAGCUUCCUGUUUCAUGGCGAAACAUCAAACUUUGUCACGCCUCCACAGACACGCCCCUCAUGAAAAGUCUGGAACUUGCAAUGUAUCAUCACAAAGGUCUAGGAAGUUAUAUUAUAGAAAGACUUUAAUUUAUUUACAUGUACCAGAUUUCCUGUUAUUUAUUUAAAUGUGUCGCAUUCCCUUUUGCCAGCUGGUGGCGCUAUCGCUAAAAGUGAACACCGACAUGGAUAUGUGUUCAGGCCAGGACUCUUAUCAAACAUGUGAAGUGUGAGGCUGGUCGGACAGUGUGUGCCUGAGUUACUAUAGCUUCCUGUUUCAUGGCGAAACAUCAAACUUUUUCAUGCCGCCACGCACAGGUCCCUCAACUAAAAGUCAGGAUCAUAAAAUGUAUCAUCACAAAGGUGGCGCUAUAACAGUAUCUGAAUAUUACCAUGUAGAUGUCUUCAGGCCCGGACUUUUAUCAAAUGUGUGAAGUGUGAGACUGUUCGAACAUUUUGUGCCUGAGAUACUAUAACUUCCGGUUUCAUGGCGAAACAUCAAACUUUGUCAGGCCGCCAUGGACACGCCCCUCAACAAAAAGUCAGGAACUUGCAAUGUAUCAUCACAAAGGUCUGAAGAUCAUACUGGCCAAAUAUAUUGCUGACCUGUUUGAAUCUCUAUGAGUUAAUCACAGUUUAAAACAUGCCCCUUCCUGUUUCCUGCAGGUGGCGCUAUAACUGUAUCUGAAUAUUACCAUGUAGAUGUCUUCAGGCCAGGACUUUUAUCAAAUGUGUGAAGUCUGGGUAAAGUCUGGGGCCUGUUGCACAUUGUAGGCCUGAGUUACAACAACUUCCUGUUCAUGGCGAAACGCCAAACUUUGGAUGGGUCACAUUCCCCCAUGAAAAGUCAGGAUCUCCGCAAUUUACCUCCGCAAAGGCCUUAAGAGUAGAAUGACAUGAAGAUGAUGUUGAUCGGAUUAAAACUCUAGGAGGAGUUCGCUAAAGUACGACGACUGGAAAUUGAAACAAAUUACAAAAUUGCACAGGAAAUCAAAAAUAACGGACUUCCUGUUGGGUUUAGAGAUAUGCUCCAAGAGACUUUUCUUAAUGAUUCGGGGAGUUCUAUCAACCUACCAAAUUUGGUGCAUGUACGUAUUGCGUAGUGGCCUGGGCAGUUCUAGGUGGCGCUAGCGAGCCAUUUUGCCACGCCUAAUUUUAAAACCCAUAUCAGACAUACAUUUUUGCAAGGUCUGAUGCGUGUGCAAAUUAUUGUGAGUUUUUGAGCAUGUUUAGGCCUUCAAAUUAGCGAUCGAAGAAGAAGAAGAAGAAGAAGAAUAAACAACAGAAACAAAAGGGCUCUGCACUACGGUGCAAGCCGGUGGCUUGCUACUCCGUGCUCGGGCCCUAAUAAUAAUUAAAGCUGCGAGCAGUGAUGAUCGGGCCCUCGCCGAAAGUGCCACCGCAACCCGAUUGCAUAAGGAAAACAGCGAAUGCUGGUGGCGCUAUUGCUAUAAGUGAACACUGACAUGGAUAUGUGUUCAGGCCAUGACUCUUAUCAAACAUGUGAAGUGUGAGGCCGGUCAGACAUUGUGUGCCUGAGUUACUCUAGCUUCCUGUUUCAUGGCGAAACAUCAAACUUUGUCACGCCUCCACGGACACGCCCCUCAACGAAAAGUCAGGAACUUGCAAUGUAUCGUCACAAAGGUCUAGGAAGUUAUAUUAUAGAAAGACUUUAAUUUAUUUACAUGUACCAGAUUUCCUGUUAUUUAUUUAAAUGUGUCACAUUCCCUUUUGCCAGCUGGUGGCGCUAUUGCUAUAAGUGAACACUGACAUGGAUAUGUGUAAUCGUAGGCGAUAAAAUUAAUGCAGGCGAAUUAUAGUUGGAUUUGUUAUUUAUUUAAAUGUGUUACAUUCCCUUUAGCAUAGCUUCCUGUUUCAUGGCGAAACAUCAAACUGUGUCAGGCCGCCACAGACACGCCCCUCAAAGAAAAGUUAGGAUCUUGAAAUGUAUCGUCACAAAGGUCUGAAGAUCAUACUGGCCAAAUAUGAUGCUGACUUGUUUGAAUCUGUAUGAGGAGUAAAUCUGUCAUGGUUCUGCCUCAUCUUGUCUUGCUUUUCUUGAGCUAGUGGCAGAACCAUGACAGAACCUCUUGUUUCAUGUGUCACGAUCAAAGAGGGAGAAGAACACAGAAACAAUAGGGCUCUGCACUGCGGUGCAAGCCUGCAGCUUGCUCCUUCGUGCUCGGGCCCUAAUAAUAAACAACACAGAAACAAAAGGGCUCUGCACUACGGUGCAAG